rnacentral:lncRNA from 1 species
CAGUAACAAUAAAAGAUACUGUCCAGAUAUUGUAAAAUUAUACGGAGUUUCAAAUCUCCAAGAAAUGGUAAAAUUAUUACUUGACAUUCUGCGAAACGGUCAUUAUCGCAAAACACUAACACAUUUACAUUUUACCGUAUACAACCUAUUUUUAACAGUUUGGCAAACAGUGGUUCGCUUUAGUGUUUGUGAGCGAAGUACCUAGAAUAUUUUCAUCGUUUCGCCAUUUGUUUUGUUUGGUUUAGGAGUGAAAAAAAACUCGUGCGGAAAUAAAUUUUCAAGUGGCGGAUCUUUAUUUGAGAAGGAUUCAAGCUUCUUCCCUCUGGUUUAAGGCUUAUGAGCUAGAUCCCAAGUGACCCGUUUCAUAUCCAGAUUUCUCAGGAUGUGUUGUUGCAGUGACCUAGAAAUGAAACCAACAAAUUAUUACCGUUACCGAUCUUCCCGUAAUCUUCUAGCUGAGAAAUCGUGCUUUCAAGGCCCAGGAUUGUGCGAGCAAGAACCCCCCGAGUUUGGAACGGCGAAAAAGCAGAAAAAAGUGGUUAAAUAAGAAACGCAAUCUGUUUUACAGUGUGAUUGCUCUAAUAUGAAUAAAAAUGCAUAAACGAUCAAA